GUCUGAAGGAACUCAUUUGGAGAACAGGCAUGCAGAUGCCCUGAGAGCUCGGUGCCACACGAUGGACACACAAAUGGAGAUAUGGCUUCCACAUGCUGUGUUCCCACACCUCUCAUAUUUCAGACGCAGUGCUUUGCCCUUCAUCCAUUAACUCGCAUUCUUUUUCUCUUCUGUCUCCCUCCAUUUGGGAUGAUCAAAAUUUUAUUUCUGGAUGAGCUCCUUUUUGCCCACUCUAAGAGUUAAAUACCUUUGCUGACACUGAAUUUGGAAACACAGACUUAGGGAAAUUUUUCAGAAAGACUGCUUUAAGAGUAAUUUUUUUUCCCAACAGACAACACAGAAGUAGAAUUUUAUUUACUUGCUUUUGCUAUUAUUAGCCAUUUAUAUCAUAUCAUAACUUAUGAAUAAGACAUUAAGAUGAGCAUUGUAAACGAAUGCUACCAAUUGCAUAAGAGAGAAUCCAUUCAUUUUUGCUAGCUUGUAUUGUUUUCUGUGUUUCCACCAUACAAUUAGAUGUAAAAUAGAAAUACAAUUCUAUUGCAUUAAAGAGUAAUACUUGUUUAUAUGUUACUAUGUGAUAGGCAUAUAAUUAAAGCUUAAAAAAUUUUUGCUGAAUUAAAUUGAAUGUAAUAAGGAACAUUUGAAAAACACAGAAAAAUAAAAUUUUUAAAAAUAUAAAGUUUUCCAUCCCUAUUAAAUAACCAAUAUAAACAUUUUGGUGUAUAUCCUUUAACUCUUGUCCCUAUGUGUGUAUCUGUAUCCAUAUCUCUAACUCUAUCUGUAGCUCUAUCAUCUCUACACGAACACACACACACACACACACACCAACACUUACAAGAUUAACAAAUGUGGUAUCAUAGUUUAUAAAAUGUGUAGUAUUAUAACAUUUAUAAAUGUUGUAGUAUAGUGUAGGAGCUCUACAUGAGAUAAUGCAUGGUUUAUUUUGUAUGAUUCAUGUUGCAUCCUGAGAAUCUCAUCCUUAGCUCAAACCAUGGGAUUAGAAGUUAGACAAAUCUGGAUAUAAUAUUGAAUAAGUUUUUUGACUUCUUUGUAUCUGUUUCUUUAUUCCUAUAAAAAUGGGAAUAAUAAUACUCACCACACAUUUUUGUGAAGAUUAAAUGAGAUAAUGAAAAGGCAUGAAAAGCCCUUAGCACAGUGUGUGGAACUUAGAAGUUUUUCCGUAUUAUUAAAAGGUCACUGAUGCACUUCCAUGUAUAUAUAUCUUCAGCCUCAUCUCUUUAUGUUUUAUAAGCAUUGAUUCCUGGAAGUAGAAUUGUUGAAUCAAAGGAGAUAAUAUUUUCCCCAGAGAACUCAAGAGGGAGAAGAGGGAGCAAACUGGAAAAGUCCUAAAUGCCAGGGAGGAGGGGGUGAAGUUGGCAGGAUAGAAGAGAAGCUGAUGUUAAGUCCAAGGCCUUUAAAAAGAUAUCAAAGAGAUGGAUUUUGGAAUGGGGUGGGGUGAAGGUGAAAUCUGUGAUUUUUGAUAAGAUCUCUUAAUUUUCUUUUUUCUUUUUCUUUUUUUUUUUUUCUUUUUUAGGUGGAGUCUUGCUCUGUCACCCAGGCUGGAGUGCAAGGGCGCGAUCUCAGCUCACUGCAAGCUCCGCCUCCCAGGUUCACGCCAUUCUCCUGCCUCAGCCACCCGAGUAGCUGGGACUACAGGGGCCCACCACCACGCCUGGCUAAUUUUUUUGUAUUUUUAGUAGAGACAGGGUUUCACCGUGUUAGCCAGGAUGGUCUCGAUAUCCUGACCUUGUGAUCCACCUUCCUCGGCCUCCCAAAGUGCUGGGAUUACAGGCGUGAGCCACUGAGCCCGGACAAUUUUCUCUUUUCUAAAGUUAAAUAAACAAGUUAGUUUAUUUUAUAAAUCGUGUUGCCUCCUGAGAAUCCCAUCCUUAGCUCAAACCAUGUUCUUUUCACUUCCCAAUGAUGAAGGUAACGAGAGAGCAUUGAGUAUUCUCCCCUUUUCCAGGACCCCCUAUGUAAAAACUUGGUGUUCUGAGAAGGUUAAUUUGUCACUGAGAAGGGGUUCACCGACUAUUCUUUAAUUCAGCUUUUAACAAGAGAGUGUCAUUUUCAUGAAAACAAAAGCAUCCCUGCUGCUGAUGGAAGCUUUCCAUCUUGUGUUUAUGCUGAUGGUUGUCCCCACCCGCCUGGCCUAGUUAUUUCACACUCAGAUAAACUAUGCAAGCAUUCGGGAUGGGCUGCAAGGCAGUGCCCGCUCCUUUUUAUUUGCUGCCAUGGCUGGUCAAUUGGGAGCAGAGUAGAUGGUCUGUGGUCCCAAUUGUGGUGGUCUGUGCCCUGUUAGGAUGUUAGGAUGGUCUGUGGUCCCAAUUGUGGUGGUCUGUGCCCUGUUAGGAACCAGGCCACACAGCAGUAGUUGAGUGUCAGGUGAGCAAGGAAAGCUUCAUCUGUAUUUAUAGCUGCUCCCAUGGCUCACAUUAUCACCUGAACUCUGCCUCCUGCCAGAUCAGCAGUGGCAUCAGAUUCUCACAGGGGCACAAACCCUAUUGUGAACUGCAAGCAGGAGGGAUCUAGGUUGCGCGCUCCUUAUGAGAAUCUAAUGCCUGAUGAUCUGUCAUUGUCUCCCAUCACCCCCACAUAAUAUCAUCAGUUGCAGGAAAACAAGCUCAGGGCUCCCAUUGAUUCUGAUUCCACAUUAUGGUGAGUUGUAUAAUUAUUUCAUUAUAUAUCACAAUGUAAUAAUAAUAGAAAUAAAGUACACAAUGAAAGUAAUGCACUGGAAUCAUCCUGAAACCAUUUUCUAGCCCUGGUCCGUGGAAAAAUUGUCUUCCACUGACAACUCCCUCCACCUCCAUGCCCCCAUUUGACAGGUGAGAAACCCAGGUGCAGUGUGAUUUGCUGAAGGUGAGUCUAUUCCUGGCAGAGUUGGAAUGGUGACUCAGGUGACCUUCACAAAAACUACCUGGGUUUAUCCCAGUUGCAGACUUUUUUCCCUAAGUCCUUUUGGAAAAGGUGCUUGGUAGCCCGGUGCUUAGAUUUUCUUUCUGUAACAACUUGCAUAACUGUGGUAUUAUGGGAUUUUGUGGGAAGUUCUAGAUUAGUGCCUGGCACCUAGGGUGCACUCAGUGUUAAUUAGGUUUAUUAUUACAGCAGCGGUUUUCAAUUUUUUGAUUUAUUGAUUUGUUCAUUAUUUAUUUUUCAUUUUUUAUUUAUUUCAAUUGUUGCUCCAACUGUGGGACCAACCUACUCAUCAACAUUUUUUUUUGGAACGAAGGCCCAAUGUCUACACAGAGUAAAGGUGGAUGUGACUGGAAUCCUUGCUGCCAGAGCAUCUGCCUCUUCCUCCUCCUCCUCCUCCUCCUCCUCCUCUCACAGCCCUGAUGAGGCCUGGCUGUGUCAGAGACUGUGACUUGGGCCUACUGGCUUGAUUUUAAACUGCCGUUUGUGUGUGAUGCCUACCUCUGGGACUUCACCUCUAUCCAAGUGAUCCUGUUUAUUAAAGAUAGCAUGGAGUGGA
rnacentral:lncRNA from 1 species